GACGAACGCUGGCGGCGUGCCUAAUACAUGCAAGUCGAACGGAAAGGCCCUGCUCUUGUGCCGUGCUCGUGAGGCGCACGCGUGAGUAUCACGCGUGUAACCUCUCCCUGUCUUUGGGAUAACUCCUGGAAACACGGGCUCUUAUCCCAUAUGAGCUCUUUCUGCACGGUGUUGGAUGGUAAGAUACGGCGUUUCGGGACGGACUCGCGGCUUAUCAGCUUGUUGGUGUGGUAGUGGCUUACCAAGGCUUCGACGGGUAGCCGGCCUGGGAGGGUGACCGGCCCCAAUGGGACUGAGGAACGGCCCAGAGGCAUACGGGAGGAAGCAGUGGAAAAUAGUGCGCAAUAGGCGGAAGCCUGGAAGAGCGACGCCGCGUGCGGAAUGACGGCCUUCGGGGUAGAAACCGCGUGCGACUGUAACGAAGAGUGAGUGACGGUAAUGAGUAAGAAAGCAACGGCUAACUACGUG
rnacentral:rRNA from 1 species